rnacentral:misc_RNA from 1 species
GGAAGGAUCAUUACCGAAUUGUCGACACGAGUUGUUGCUGGUCCUCAAUCGGGGACACGUGCACACUCUGUUUACACAUCCACUCACACCUGUGCACCCUCCAUAGUUCUGCAGCCUGGGGGCUCUCUGUUCCCUGCCGUGGUUCUAUGUAUUUACACAUACACACAGUAGUUAAGUCUCAUGGAAUGCAUACCGCGUUUAACGCAAUAUAAUACAACUUUCAGCAACGGAUCUCUUGGCUCUCGCAUCGAUGAAGAACGCAGCGAAAUGCGAUAAGUAAUGUGAAUUGCAGAAUUCAGUGAAUCAUCGAAUCUUUGAACGCACCUUGCGCCCUUUGGCUAUUCCGAAGGGCAUGCCUGUUUGAGUAUCAUGAACACCUCAACUCUCGUGGCUUUGCCAUGAUGAGCUUGGACUUUGGGGGUCUUGCUGGCCUGCGGUCAGCUCCUCUCAAAUGAAUUAGCUUGCCAGUGUUUGGUGGCAUCACGGGUGUGAUAACUAUCUACGCUUGUGGUUUUCCACCAGGUAACCUUCAGUGAUGAAGGUUCUCUGGAGCUCAUAAACGUCUCUCCUCAGCGAGGACAGCUCUUUGAACGUUUGAUCUCAAAUCAGGUAGGACUACCCGCUGAACUUAAGCAUAUCAAUAAGCGGAGGAAAAGAAACUAACAAGGAUUCCCCUAGUAACUGCGAGUGAAGCGGGAAGAGCUCAAAUUUAAAAUCUGGCGUGCCUCUGGUCGUCCGAGUUGUAGUCUGGAGAAGCGUU